rnacentral:lncRNA from 1 species
UGGUUCCAAGUUCGUUAUCCUACUAAGGUUAACCUACUCAUCCCCAUAAUCUAAAAGAAAAUCAAAGAAGACACCUAAGAGAGGACUCCUCUCUUUACAUAUCCACUACGAAAUUUAAAUUAGGGAGACUCUCCCCUUACAAGGAGAAUAAAAAACCUAAGCCUAUUCACUAUAGCUAUAAUUACCAAUAACCAUAGCCAAACUGAAAAGGGUAGGGGAAACAAAAACUAUAGAAAUUUCUAUAGGUAUCAUAGGGAAAUAGGUUUAAGGUGGAUGUUUGAUUCUCUUGAGUUUCUUUCUUCUGAAAUUGGUCAUCC